rnacentral:rRNA from 1 species
UACGUAGGGUGCAAGCGUUAAUCGGAAUUACUGGGCGUAAAGCGUGCGUAGGUGGUUUGUUAAGUCUGAUGUGAAAGCCCUGGGCUCAACCUGGGAACGGCAUUGGAAACUGGCUUACUAGAGUGCGGUAGAGGGGUGUGGAAUUCCCGGUGUAGCAGUGAAAUGCGUAGAUAUCGGGAGGAACAUCUGUGGCGAAGGCGACACCCUGGACCAGCACUGACACUGAGGCACGAAAGCGUGGGGAGCAAACAGG